GACGAACGCUGGCGGCGUGCUUAACACAUGCAAGUCGAACGGGCCUUGUCCCCUUUUUUUGGGGGUGGGGUUAGUGGCGAACGGGUGAGUAACGCGUGAGUAACCUGCCCCUCACUUCUGGAUAACCGCUUGAAAGGGUGGCUAAUACGGGGUGUUCUGGCCUGCUCGCAUGGGUGGGUUUGGAAAGAUUCGACCGGUUUUGGUUGUUUUGGUGGGGGAUGGGCUCGCGGCCUAUCAGCUUGUUGGUGGGGUGAUGGCCUGCCAAGGCUUUGACGGGUAGCCGGCCUGAGAGGGUGGGCGGUCACACUGGGACUGAGACACGGCCCAGACUCCUACGGGAGGCAGCAGUGGGGAAUAUUGCACAAUGGGCGCAAGACUGAUGCAGCGACGCCGCGUGAGGGAUGGAGGCCUUCGGGUUGUGAACCUCUUUCGCAAGUGAAGAAGGUCCUGCUCUUUGUGGUGGGGUUGACGGUAGCUGGGUUAAUGAAGCGCCGGCUAACUACGUG
rnacentral:rRNA from 1 species